UCUUUGCAGCCUGCUGAAGGGUUUGAACUUGACAGGAGUUUUACCCACUGAAAUAGGGAAACUUACUUUUCUGGUUCAACUUGAUCUCACUCGUAACUAUAUUAAUGGAACAAUCCCUGCAAGUCUUGCUCAGCUCCCUAACCUUCGAAACUUGUCCCUUUUGGCGAACCGUCUCACCAGUUCAAUUCCUCAGUAAAUUGGAAACAUUGCUACUCUGGAGGAACUAUAAAUUAAGAAACAGAAUUCUUUGCCAAGUAGAGCAAAUACGGAGUUACAGUGUUUUAUUUCCAACUUUAAAUGGAUGUUGCAGGGUUCUGGGAGAUAAUCUUCUUGAAGGACCUCUCCCUUCAAACCUUGG
rnacentral:misc_RNA from 1 species